rnacentral:lncRNA from 1 species
UGGCCCUCUUGUUGUUAGGAGUUUAGGCGGUGUCAACAAGAUGUAGGUGCUGAGAAAACUGCCUGACUGCUGUUGAUCUUUUACAGAUAAGAUAUCCCCAAUCUAUGAUGUCUCUUAAUGAAAUACAAUGGGUUUAGCACUGGAAUUUAUAGCUCCUUUCUGAUGUUCUCCAUGUAAUAUACGUUUCUGGGGUAUAAGUUGUUUAAGCUUCUCAUCCAUAAAAAAAGCUCGAGCUGAGCUUUUGCUCACCGUCCACCACUGCUGUUGGCCGCCAUCGCACACCUGCCACUGACUUCCACCCCUCUGGAUCCGGCUGGGUGUCUGCUGCACUCCUGAUCCAGCGAGGCGCCCACUGCCACUCCCAGUUGGGCUAAAGGCUCGCCAUUGUUCCUGCACAGCUAAGUGCCCGGGUUCAUCCUAAUCAAGCUGAACACUAGUUGCUGGGUUCUACGGUUCUCUUCUGUGACCCAUGGCUUCUAAUCAAGCUGUAACACUCACCACAUAGGCCCAAGGUUUCAUUCCUUGGAAUCUGUGAGGCCAGGAACCCCAGGUCAGAGAACAAAAGGCUUG